CAGCCGCCGCGGUAAUACGUAGGUGGCAAGCGUUGUCCGGAAUUAUUGGGCGUAAAGGGCUCGCAGGCGGUUUCUUAAGUCUGAUGUGAAAGCCCCCGGCUCAACCGGGGAGGGUCAUUGGAAACUGGGAAACUCGAGUGCAGAAGAGGAGAGUGGAAUUCCACGUGUAGUGGUGAAAUGCGUAGAGAUGUGGAGGAACACCAGCGGCGAAGGCGACUCUCUGGUCUGUAACUGACGCUGAGGAGCGAAAGCGUGGGGAGCGAACAGGAUUAGAUACCCCUGUAGUCCCUGUCUCUUAUAC
rnacentral:rRNA from 1 species